rnacentral:rRNA from 1 species
UACAGAGGGUGCGAGCGUUGUCCGGAAUCACUGGGCGUAAAGGGCGCGUAGGUGGUGGCUUAAGCGUGCGGUGAAAGCUCGGGGCUCAACCCCGAGUCGGCCGUGCGAACUGGGCUCACUGGAGCAUAGUAGAGGCAGGUGGAAUUCCGGGUGUAGCGGUGGAAUGCGUAGAGAUCCGGAAGAACACCGGUGGCGAAGGCGGCCCGCUGGGCAGAGACUGACGCUGAGGCGCGACAGCGUGGGGAGCAAACAGG